GACGAACGCUGGCGGCGCGCCUAACACAUGCAAGUCGAACGGAGUCAAGAGGAGCUUGCUUUUCUUGACUUAGUGGCGAACGGGUGAGUAACGCGUGAGUAACCUGCCCUGGAGUGGGGGACAACAGUUGGAAACGACUGCUAAUACCGCAUAAGCCCACGGAUCUGCAUGGAUCUGCGGGAAAAGGAUUUAUUCGCUCUAGGAUGGACUCGCGUCCAAUUAGCUAGUUGGUGAGGUAACGGCCCACCAAGGCGACGAUUGGUAGCCGGACUGAGAGGUUGAACGGCCACAGUGGGACUGAGACACGGCCCAGACUCCUACGGGAGGCAGCAGUGGGGGAUAUUGCACAAUGGGGGAAACCCUGAUGCAGCGACGCCGCGUGGAGGAAGAAGGUUUUCGGAUUGUAAACUCCUGUCGUGAGGGACGAUAAUGACGGUACCUAACAAGAAAGCACCAGCUAACUACGUG
rnacentral:rRNA from 1 species